UCGAACGCUUCUUUUCACCGAGUGCUUGCACUCACUUGAAAAGAAGAGUGGCGGACGGGUGAGUAACACGUGGGUAACCUGCCCAUCAGAGGGGGAUAACACUUGGAAACAGGUGCUAAUACCGCAUAAUAGUCGACACCGCAUGGUGUUGAUUUGAAAGACGCUUUCGGGUGUCACUGAUGGAUGGACCCGCGGUGCAUUAGCUAGUUGGUGAGGUAACGGCUCACCAAGGCCAUGAUGCAUAGCCGACCUGAGAGGGUGAUCGGCCACACUGGGACUGAGACACGGCCCAGACUCCUACGGGAGGCAGCAGUAGGGAAUCUUCGGCAAUGGACGAAAGUCUGACCGAGCAACGCCGCGUGAGUGAAGAAGGUUUUCGGAUCGUAAAACUCUGUUGUUAGAGAAGAACAAGUGGGAGAGUAACUGCUCCCGCCUUGACGGUAUCUAACCAGAAAGCCACGGCUAACUACGUGCCAGCAGCCGCGGUAAUACGUAGGUGGCAAGCGUUGUCCGGAUUUAUUGGGCGUAAAGCGAGCGCAGGCGGUUUCUUAAGUCUGAUGUGAAAGCCCCCGGCUCAACCGGGGAGGGUCAUUGGAAACUGGGAGACUUGAGUGCAGAAGAGGAGAGUGGAAUUCCAUGUGU
rnacentral:rRNA from 1 species